GGUGAGAUGGCCGAGUGGUUAUGGCGCUGCGUUCAGGUACACCUGAAAAUCUAACUUGAUUAAAGUUUCGCAGUGGAGCAAUCCGCGUGGGUUCGAGUCCCACUCUCAUCA